GAUGAACGCUGGCGGCGUGCCUAAUACAUGCAAGUCGAGCGAACAGACGAGGAGCUUGCUCCUCUGACGUUAGCGGCGGACGGGUGAGUAACACGUGGAUAACCUACCUAUAAGACUGGGAUAACUUCGGGAAACCGGAGCUAAUACCGGAUAAUAUAUUGAACCGCAUGGUUCAAUAGUGAAAGACGGUUUUGCUGUCACUUAUAGAUGGAUCCGCGCCGCAGUAGCUAGUUGGUAAGGUAACGGCUUACCAAGGCAACGAUGCGUAGCCGACCUGAGAGGGUGAUCGGCCACACUGGAACUGAGACACGGUCCAGACUCCUACGGGAGGCAGCAGUAGGGAAUCUUCCGCAAUGGGCGAAAGCCUGACGGAGCAACGCCGCGUGAGUGAUGAAGGUCUUCGGAUCGUAAAACUCUGUUAUUAGGGAAGAACAAAUGUGUAAGUAACUAUGCACGUCUUGACGGUACCUAAUCAGAAAGCAACGGCUAACUACGUG
rnacentral:rRNA from 1 species